AUUGAACGCUGGCGGAAUGCUUUACACAUGCAAGUCGAACGGCAGCACGGGGCAACCUGGUGGCGAGUGGCGAACGGGUGAGUAAUAUAUCGGAACGUGCCCAAUCGUGGGGGAUAACGUAGCGAAAGUUACGCUAAUACCGCAUACGAUCUACGGAUGAAAGCGGGGGAUCGCAAGACCUCGCGCGAAUGGAGCGGCCGAUAUCAGAUUAGGUAGUUGGUGGGGUAAAGGCUACACCAAGCCAACGAUCUGUAGCUGGUCUGAGAGGACGACCAGCCACACUGGAACUGAGACACGGUCCAGACUCCUACGGGAGGCAGCAGUGGGGAAUUUUGGACAAUGGGCGCAAGCCUGAUCCAGCCAUUCCGCGUGCAGGAUGAAGGCCUUCGGGUUGUAAACUGACUUUGUAUUGGAACGAAACGGUACUGCCUAAUACGGCAGGCUAAUGACGGUACCGUAAGAAUAAGCACCGGCUAACUACGUAGCCAGCAGCCGCGGUAAGU
rnacentral:rRNA from 1 species